AGGAUGAACGCUGGCGGCGUGCUUAACACAUGCAAGUCGAACGGGAAUGUUUCGCUGAUGCGAUUUCGGUCAAAUCUUGAAGCAUUUUAGUGGCGGACGGGUGAGUAACGCGUGGGUAACCUGCCCUGUACAGGGGGACAACAGUUGGAAACGACUGCUAAUACCGCAUAAGCGCACAGCUUCGCAUGAAGCAGUGUGAAAAACUCCGGUGGUACAGGAUGGACCCGCGUCUGAUUAGAUAGUUGGUGAGGUUAAACGGCCCACCAAGUCAACGAUCAGUAGCCGGCCUGAGAGGGCGAACGGCCACAUUGGGACUGAGACACGGCCCAAACUCCUACGGGAGGCAGCAGUGGGGAAUAUUGCACAAUGGGGGAAACCCUGAUGCAGCGACGCCGCGUGAGUGAAGAAGUAUUUCGGUAUGUAAAGCUCUAUCAGCAGGGAAGAUAAUGACGGUACCUGACUAAGAAGCCCCGGCUAACUACGUG
rnacentral:rRNA from 1 species